rnacentral:rRNA from 1 species
CGGUUGAUCCUGCCGGACCCCACCGCUAUCGGGAUGGGACUAAGACAUGCUAGUCGUGCGUCUCCAAGCCAUGGUGGAGACGCGGCACACAGCUCAGUAACACGUGGCUAACCUGCCCUUGGGACAGGGACAACCCCGGGAAACUGGGGCUAAUCCCUGAUAGGUGAGGGUUCCUGGAAUGGACCCUCGCCGAAAGGGCGUCUAGACCAUGCUUCUAGGCGCCGCCCAAGGAUGGAGCCGCGGCCGAUCAGGUUGUUGGUGAGGUAACGGCUCACCAAACCUUUAACCGGUACGGGCCGUGAGAGCGGGAGCCCGGAGAUGGGUACUGAGACAAGGACCCAGGCCCUACGGGGCGCAGCAGUCGCGAAAACUCCGCAAUACGCGAAAGCGUGACGGGGCCAUCCCGAGUGCCGUCCGCUGAGGAUGGCUUUUCCCCAGUGUAUAAAGCUGGGGGAAUAAGGAGAGGGCAAGACUGGUGUCAGCCGCCGCGGUAAUACCAGCUCUCCGAGUGGUGGGGAUGCUUAUUGGGCCUAAAGCAUUCGUAGCCGGUUGGGCAAGUCCCCCGCUAAAUCCAACGAUUCAAUCGUUGGACUGCGGGGGAUACUGUCCAACUAGGGGGCGGGAGAGGCCGACGGUAUUCUCGGGGUAGGGGUGAAAUCCUAUAAUCCCGGGAGGACCACCAGUGGCGAAGGCUGUCGGCUAGAACGCGCCCGACGGUGAGGGAUGAAAGCUGGGGGAGCGAACCGGAUUAGAUACCCGGGUAGUCCCAGCUGUAAACGAUGCAGGCUAGGUGUUGGAGCGGCUACGUGCCGCUCCAGUACCGCAGGGAAGCCGUUAAGCCUGCCGCCUGGGAAGUACGGCCGCAAGGCUGAAACUUAAAGGAAUUGGCGGGGGAGCAC